rnacentral:lncRNA from 1 species
AAGGAACAUGUCAGCGUUUGGACUCUCACUGCAGAGGGAGCUCAGAAUAUUACAGACCAGGGUGAAACUAUCUAAAUUCCCAGAACAUUAUAUUUCAUUUCACAUAUGGGAAAACUGAUACUCAGGAAUCUGAGAUUGAUCACCCAAAGGCUCACAGCUUAUCCACUGACAGAACUGCAACCAGCAUAUGCCUCCAUGGCUGACUCCUCUUCAUGGGACAAAGUGAUUAGUUGAAACCUGCUUCCUCAUCCCUCCCGCUGUGCUACAUGCUUCCUCACUCCUAUCCCAGAAGAGAGGAAAGAACAUCUUGAAAAUCCUUCAGAAGAGCAAAGAGCCAUAUUUCUCAGAGGCUCCCAGCAAACGAAUCUUCAUGCUUCUAGACCCAAAUUUGCUUGCAUGCCCAUCCUUUCACCAAAAUCUGGGGCCGAGAAUAGGGCCACACUAGUCUGAAUCGGAUGUCCUGCCAAGGGCCAGGGGUGGAGCCAGCCUCAAAUGAAGUGCUUGGGCUGGGUAGGGUUGGCAUUAAUACCCAAUGAAAGUUGGGGUAAUCACCAAGAGAAGAAGAAAUGGAUGCCGGGGAGUCACCUUCUCGUCCAUUCACUGCGGAGACUGUUGCUUUCAAAAGGCAAGUGGGGUUUCUGCCUUUAAACAAUGAGUGUUCUAUGAGACAAUCCUAGAGUGCAGUGGGCCAGUUUUUGCCAGGAGUCCCCAUCAGUUAGGAUGGUUAAAGAGGAGAAUCUUUUCUGUACCUACCAUCCUGGUCUGGAAAGAAUUUGGGUCAGAGCAUCAGACACACCUCGGUUGAAUCCCAGCUCUGCCAUUUACUUUGUAACCAAGUGUGUUGCUUAAUCUCUCUCUCUGUCUCUGCUUCCUACAUGCAACCUGAGGGCAAUAAUGCCUACUUCACUGUGUUAUGAGAGAAUUAAAAAAAAUAAAGCAUUUAAAUUAUCUAGCACAGUGCUCAGUACAUAGGUAAUUACUUUCCUUUCUGUGUGCCUUAAUUACUUGUUUAGAGAGCACAGAAUCAGAAAAGGGAGCUAUAAUGGCCUGAGUCAUUGAUCUUUACCCAAGAGAAGAUCCUAUUAUCUGGAUUUAUGAGACACAGCAUGGGCCUACAUCCCCCCUGGACCCUGCUGCAAACAUGCUAAUUCAUAGUUCUGGCUAUCUUUUCUAUAGACUUGGUUGCCACCUCUGUUUUAUACUUUCCUUAGUGUGUUAAUUAAUGACGUCCCAGUCUUCUUUCCAAUCAGUUUCUUUCAGAGAAGACACUUUGGUCUCUACGAAUGCCAAACCUCAAACAUUAUAAGUAAGACAUUCAUUUUGUCCUAAUGUCUUGGGAGAAGCUCAUUCUAGUUCUCGUUGAAGGGUUCUACUCUGACUCUCCCCAAUAUCUCUUCAUUCAUUCAUUCCUUCAUUCAAUAUUUAUUGAAAAGCAAGAAAAGAAAUGCAUUCCAAAUUUAAGAAGAGCCUGUGGGAAGGCCAGGAUGAAAAAGGGCAUGGUGUGUCCUCAAGGAACUGAAGGAAAUGCGUUACACCAAAAGAGAAGAGAGCAGGAGAAAGAAUGGCAAGAAAUGAGACUGGAGACAUGGGAAUGCACCAGGUCCCAUACAUCCUUAAAGAUGAAAGCUAUGGCUGCCUGUCCUCAACGCAUUGGAGUUGGUGGCUUCAUGUGUGACAGAUGUCGUGCACCAAUACGACCACCCAGGAAGGACAAAUGCACUUCAAAUACCUACACAUGCCCCUCAGAUAAGAAAUACUUUUUAAAGAAAAGUGGAAAAAUAAUUCUCACACUUUAUAACUAAUCUGUAUUCUUUAGAUGCAUUUGAAAGUAUCUUUUAUUAUAAAACCCAAACUUGAAGUAAGAAAUUUAAAAGAACCAAGAUUGUGGAAAAGGAAAUGUAAGUUCCUAUUUCCCAAUUCAGUUCCACAAUCCCAUAUCCCAGAGGUGCCAUUGUUAACAGUGUUUUGGGUGUUCUUGCAGACAUCGUUCUUUUUAUACAACUAGGUAAAUGAAGUACCUAUUAUAUAUUUUAAUGCAAAUGGAAUCAUCUUACAUACAGUUUUGCAUUUUCAUUUUUUCAAUUAAAAUUGUCAGUACAUUUAAAUCUUUAUCUUCUUUUUAGUGCCUGUAUAUCAUCCCAUAUAGAGAUGUACCAUUAUUUAUUUUACCUGUUAAUGAUAAUUUACAUUGUUUCCUUUUUUUUUUUUUUUUUUUGCUACUAAAAACAGCACUGCAAUGAACAUCCUUCUACAUACAUUUAUUUUCA